GGUGCGCGUGGCUUUGGCCGCCGGUUUAAGUUUCCCUUGACUGGGGCUCCAAAGAAGGUGAAAGACCUGUACAACCGGUGGACUUUGUCACCUGCUCUGUCUUGGAGUCGGGUUGUUUGGGAUCGCACCCCAAAGAAGGUGGUAAACUUCAUCUAAAACUAAAUAUGACUACAAGACCGAUAGCAAACAAGUACCGUGAGGGAAAGUUGCAAAGCACUUUGAAAAGAGAGUUAAAGAGGACGUGAAACCGGUAAGGUGGAAACGGAUAGAGCUAGCGUAUCUAGCUUGUAUUCAGCUGCCCUGGUCUGGGUGCCCUGUCUGCUGGUCCGGCUUCGGCCAGUUGGCGGGUGUCUCCCGGCUCUUGGUGGUGCAUUUGCAAGUGGAGUGCGCUGAGGCCUGUGGGGUAGCGGUUGGAAGUGCGUCUUGAGGAUACCUUUCGGGGUAAAACCCGGGCGUACCUAAGACUGUUUGCCCUGCUUGUACAAUGAGCGUGGCCAACGGGUUUGGCUGGGGCUGAGCUGGUCGUCGGUUACGGUCGCAUGCGACACGUGCUGGUGUCUGGUUUGGUCUCGGUCCGGCUCCCUCGCUCGCCCUCGGUGUAAAAGCUAGUCAUCUAUCCGACCCGUCUUGAAACACGGACCAAGGAGUUUAGCGUAUACGCGAGUCAUUGAGUGGAAAACUCAAAGGCGCAAUGAAAGUAAAGGUAUCCCUUGUGGAGCUGAUAUGCGACCUCGGGUACCUCGGUGCCCGGGAGCAGCAUAGCCCCGUCCUAAUCGCUUGCGAUGGGGCGGAGGUAGAGCGUAUUCGCUGAGACCCGAAAGAUGGUGAACUAUUCCUGAGCAGGAUGAAGCCAGUGGAAACACUGGUGGAAGUCCGAAGCGAUUCUGACGUGCAAAUCGAUC
rnacentral:rRNA from 1 species